GAGCUGUUUACUUCCUGGUUGCGCCAUGAGAAGACGAUAGCUGCGUCAAAGCUCCCAAACAAAAGUUUCACGUUGAGUAAAGUUCUGGAUAUGUUGGAUCUAGGUGACUGCCCAGACAAGGCAUGCAACAUUGCAGUUAUCCCUCAGAGAUUGUGAUAGCGGUGGGUCAGAUAUGGACUAUGAGGGGGAGACAGGCCAUUUGCCAGCCAGGCUGUUGAAUGUGUAUGCUGAACCUAUGCAAACAGAUCAUGACAGGAACAACGUUAUCAGUGAUGAUGACCUACCCCUCACUACCCCGCACUCUCCUCCCUGAGACUGGGUUGGGUCAUGGACCUCAAGGUUGCAAGUUCCUUCAUGACAACCUCUUCACUUUACUUGCACUCCUCAAUGAAAUGACAAAAAGAGGAUAUGGGAGAUCUGGAACGAUGAGACAAAAUCGUCUGUUUGAUGUCCCAUUCAAGCCACAGAAAGACUUCAUGAAGUUACUCUGGGAACCUCUGAGGUUUUGAGCCAAGGAGACAAGUUGCUGGUCCGUUAGAAAGACAAUAACAUUGUCACAGUGGCAACAAACAUGGAGGAGAAAUACAGUGAGACCUCUGUCAAGAGAUGGAACAAGGAGCGAUGUGCCUUUUGACAAAGUCCUACAACAAAAUGCAUCAACCGAUACAAUGAGCACAUGGGGGGUGUUGUUCUUCACAACCUACAGGUUUCAAGAUACUAUAUCUCCAUCAGUUCUAAGAAGUGGUGGUGGCCCAUCUUUGCAUGGUCUCUCAACAGUGCACUCGUAAACAUCCAUUUAUUUUACAGAGAUUAUAGGAGGGACAAUCGACCUGCUCACCUUCUCAUGGAUAGUGGCACAGUCUCUUAUGCAAAAGUUUGGCACGAGACCACUGAGCCACGGAAGGAGAUCUCUACUGGCUGCCACUGUUGAAAAUCAGGCAAGAUAUGACAAAGCUUCUCACUGGCCAAUCAACACGAUGCACCGGUUCCAGAGAUGUCGUCAUUGUGACAAACGCACUACCUAUGCAUGUGAGAAAUGCAAAGCGCCGCUGCACAUUGAGUGCUUCAAUAUAUACCAUGGACAGUAGAAAAGGCGUUCAGAGCGAAUGAAAAAGGGCUGAAAAGGCCAAUAAAAAAACAAAUGUGAAAAGUCAAUAAAGGGUGAGGAGAAGCAGUACCACGGACUCUAGGAA